UACGUAGGGUGCAAGCGUUAAUCGGAAUUACUGGGCGUAAAGCGUGCGUAGGCGGGUCUUUAAGUCAGGGGUGAAAUCCUGGAGCUCAACUCCAGAACUGCCUUUGAUACUGAGGAUCUUGAGUUCGGGAGAGGUGAGUGGAACUGCGAGUGUAGAGGUGAAAUUCGUAGAUAUUCGCAAGAACACCAGUGGCGAAGGCGGCUCACUGGCCCGAUACUGACGCUGAGGCACGAAAGCGUGGGGAGCAAACAGG
rnacentral:rRNA from 1 species